UAAAUUUCAAAAUUUCAAUGAACACCCUUUCAAAAUUCUCCAACUCAAAUAUUAAUUCUACAACUCAGAUACAUUAAUAUGGACUAAACUAUCACAUUUAAACUAUUAUAAUUAUUGCUAAAAUCAUACAUUUUAUAGAGAAAUCUAAACUUGUAAAGACAAAUCAGGUUUACUAGAGUGAUAUACCCAACUAGACAUUUGAUUCAGCGGCUCUCUCCUCAGUGUCUCUCUCCUCCCUGCCAAACAGUCUUUGGAUUGCAUCUUCAACUAGCACCUUUAAGUGCUGCAAAUCUUCACCCACUAAUAAACAUAAGUCUUGAUAUGGAUUGCGUG
rnacentral:misc_RNA from 1 species